GGGUGUGUGCCGGAGUAGCAAACGGAACAGUCUGUAAAACUGUCGUCCUAACGGGCUUCGCAGGUGCAAGUCCUGCCGCACCCA
rnacentral:tRNA from 1 species